rnacentral:tRNA from 1 species
GUGGGGAUAGCUCAGUGGUAGAGCUCAUGCUUAGCACACAUGAGGUCCUGGGUUCAAUCCCCAGUGCUUCCA